rnacentral:rRNA from 1 species
GUCCACGCCCUAACGAUGUCUACUAGUUGUCGGUCUUAAUUGACUUGGUAACGCAGCUAACGCGUGAAGUAGACCGCCUGGGGAGUACGGUCGCAAGAUUAAACUCAAAGGAAUUGACGGGACCCGCACAAGCGGUGGAUGAUGUGGAUUAAUUCGAUGCAACGCGAAACCUUACCCACCUUUGACAUGUACGGAAGUCGCUAGAGAUAGCUUCGUGCUCGAAAGAGAACCCGUAACACAGGGUGCUGCAUGGCUGUCGU